CCGGGUGUAGUUCAGCUGAUAGAACGCGCGGUUUGGGACCGCGAGGCUCGUGGGUUUGAGCCCCACCACUCGGACCA
rnacentral:tRNA from 1 species